CUUCACUCAGGUUUCUGUCCAGCUUAUCUUCAGAAGCCCACAUGUUUUCACAACAGAAAGUACAGACUCUGUCAUCUUCGGCAAGUUGGGGAAGGAUGUUGAAUGGACCAUCUACUUCUGAGAGGCGAAGCCCCAGACCCAUCUGGAUGGGAGAGGCCGAGAUUGAGUGGGCAGUAAAGGUCUUCAAAAUCCAUUAUGUAUUUUACACUUGCAGUACAUCUGAAUUUGAACUAGCCAUACUUCAAGAGCUCAAUACCCACAUGUGGCUAGUGGCUUGUGUUCUGGACAAUGCAGGUCUGGAGCACACUAGUGCUCCAUAUACGGGAGCUGUUAGACAAUAAAAAUAAUGCAAAGUGUCGGAGGAAGAAAGGCUUAUUUUGAGAGCUGUGGG
rnacentral:lncRNA from 1 species